rnacentral:rRNA from 1 species
GUGAGGAAUAUUGGUCAAUGGGCGGGAGCCUGAACCAGCCAAGUCGCGUGAAGGAAGAAGGAUCUAUGGUUCGUAAACUUCUUUUGCAGGGGAAUAAAGUGCAGGACGUGUCCUGUUUUGUAUGUACCCUGAGAAUAAGGAUCGGCUAACUCCGUGCCAGCAGCCGCGGUAAUACGGAGGAUCCGAGCGUUAUCCGGAUUUAUUGGGUUUAAAGGGUGCGUCGGUGGAUUGAUACGUCAGCGGUGAAAGUUUGCAGCUUAACUGUAAAAAUGCCGUUGAAACUGUCGGACUUGAGUGUAAAUGAGGUAGGCGGAAUGCGUGGUGUAGCGGUGAAAUGCAUAGAUAUCACGCAGAACUCCGAUUGCGAAGGCAGCUUACUAAGCUACAACUGACACUGAAGCACGAAAGCGUGGGGAUCAAACAGGAUUAGAAACCCCGGUAGUCC